rnacentral:piRNA from 1 species
UAGUUAUCCUCUGCUGCAUGAGGCCCAUGG